rnacentral:rRNA from 1 species
AUUGAACGCUGGCGGCAGGCCUAACACAUGCAAGUCGAGCGAGCGGCGGACGGGUGAGUAAUGUAUGGGGACUGCCUGAUGGCGGGGGAUAACUACUGGAAACGGUAGCUCAUACCGCAUACCAUCAGAUAACCCAUAUUGGAUUAGCUAGUAGGGACGGUAACGGCUUACCUAGGCGACGAUCCCUAGCGGGUCUGAGAGGAUGAUCAGCCACACUGGGACGGGUACACGGCCCAUGCGCCAAGGGAGGCAGCAGGGGGGAAUAUGGCACAAUGGGCGCAAGACGGAUGCAGCCAUGCCGGGUGGAUGAAGAAGGCCCUAGGGUUGUAAAGUACUUUCAGUCGGGAGGCGUUACCGACAGAAGAAGCACCGGCUAACGCCGUGCCAGCCGCCGCGGUAAUUC